UUUUGGUACCAGGAUGGAACUCACGGACCUCGCGCUCUCCAAGCAUGCACGUGUGAUGCUGAGCUAAGUCCUUGGUCCUUUUUAAUAUAUUUAUUAGUAGACUAAAAUUGUUUAAAAAUAAUAUUUAAUUAUGCAAAUGAUAAUUAUUCAAGUCAUAUAAAAAAUUGCAAGGGCGGGGGGUUUAACUUAGGGCCAGGGUUUAGCUCAGCGGCAUAAAUGCCUGCUUGGCAAACGCGAGGUUGUGAGUUCAAUUCCCAGUACCAAAAUAAAUAAAUAAAUAAAAAUUAAAAUAAAAAGUUACAAAAUGGAAAGCAAUCUCUAGUCCUGUGGCAAGUUACACUUUUGAGACCUUUUCUUUAGCCAUUUCUGCCAAAAAGAACAUAACCAUUGUCUUCCACAAGAUGGCAGCAUUUCAUGUUUUGUUUUGUUUUUGAAACAGGGUUUUGCUGUGUAGCUCAGGCUGGGCUUGAACUCACUAUGUAGCUAAGGCUGGCCUUGUGGCAGUCCUCCUGCCUCAGCCUCCUGAGUGCUGCGAUUACAGGCAUGCGCUACCAUGCCUGGCCAGCAUUUCUUAUUUGUUAACAAUUUUUCCCACAUCAGAUUUAGCUCAGUGGUUCAAGAGCUUGCCUGGUCAGUGCGAGGUUGUGAUUUCUAUCCCCAGUACAAAAAACAAGAAAGAAAGAAACAAUUUUCCCCAAGGCCAGAAGCAUUCCUGAUUGUCCAUGUUCAGUUAUGAUGAUUCAAGAUGCCAUCUCAGGGACACAAUCAGUUCCUAGUACUAAGUGCAGUGUGUGUGUGUGUAUGUGUGUGGGGGGGAUGAUUCAAGAACUGCAGCAGGCACACCUGUACCUGUAAUUUUUAAUUUUUUGGUACUAGAAUUAAACUCAGGACUUUGUAAUUGCCAGGCAGGCGCUUUGCCACUGAGCAAUAUCCCAGCCCUAACAGCUGUAAUUUUAAGGAAACAAUAAGGAUAAAUCCUAGGAACUGAGGGCCAACGGAAGCCCAGGGCAGCAAACUACCUGGGAACCUAGCAGUUUCCGGGGAGGUGUUCCUGGCCACUUAGGUGCAUCUGCUCACUAUUUUUUUUUUCUUACACUUUUUUUUUUCUUUUUUCUUUUUUAUCGGUACCGAGGAUCGAACUCACGACCGCCUGCUUGCAAGGCAGGUCCUUAUGUCACUGAGCUAAAUCCCCAGCCCCCGCAUCUGCUCACUAUUGACCAAACCAGAUGUGGUCAUACAUUUUGGUAGGAAGGGAAAAGGGAAUGGAUUCAAAGCCACUUCUGAAAAGAUGGAGGGGGCUGAUCCUCAGGUUCAUAAGUGUGAUGAUUGGGUGUUCAUGCUCCAUGCAUGACAUGUGUCUCCUUUGAACCUUUUUAGGACAUCGGCACAUUACCCAUUUGACGUGAAAAAGAAAGAAAAAAAAAGAUGGAGGGGGCCAUUUGCCUCAAAUCACCACUUCCCUGUUUACAGGAAGAUGAGAGUGGUAAGCAGCACAGAAGAACCUGAGAUUUUCUGUCCGGACACUGUAAUACAGCAAUGUGAGGAAGAAAAGAAGAUGGGAAGUGGUCACCUGGACUCAGGAAAGAUCUGAGCAAGAAUUGAAGUCUGCGGGGGAGUGAAGAGAGAAAUUUCAACAAAGAAGAAGAUGGCAGCUGGCACCUUCUCCCUGAGUUGGGAUUCACUGCAUGCAAGGAGCAGUUCAAACCUGCAGACAGUUGGUGGCUGCUGGAAACUCAAGAGGCCUCCGUUGAGAGAUGCAGCAGUAUAAGGGAGGAGAUGAUACUGUGGACUUCACUAGCUGGUUGAGUGCCUUGGGUUUAGCUACAGGAGAGAGUGAUGGGCCCGGAGCCACCUUGGAGAGGAGUCAACUGGGCUCAGAACUCAGAACAGUCAUAGCUCUCAGCUGAGUUCAAACCCACAGAUGUUAUGCUGGCUGCUUCAGGCUGAACAGGUCUGGCUCCAGCCUCAUGGCAAGAAACCAAGCUGAUCUUCAAGGAAAAUAAAGGUGCAGGUUCACUGAGAUUACUCACUACCCAUUAUAAAGCUACUGCUGGCUUGUUGAAAUAAGUCAACACAAAUCUGGACUCUAUUUCCACAUGUUGUCCACCAAUGACAGCAGAAAGAUAAACCUUGAAAUGGAUCUCUUGUUUUUUUGUUUGUUUUUGCUUUUUAAAUUUUUUCUUCAUUGUUUGAUCUUGUUUUAUGUGUGAAUGUGGUUUAUAGUUUUCUUUGUGGUUAUUGUUCUGUGCUGUCCUUCCUUUUAUUUAUUUCUUCUCACCUUUCUUUUUGUUUUCUGAACAAUUUUCCCAAAGUUUAUAUGACCUUCUUUUAUUCUCCAGCCUCGCUUCUAAUCUCUUCCUCUUCUAGUUCUCUGUUUUUUUCCAUAACCCCUUUUAAAAUUUCUUCUCUAAGGGUAAAAUCAGCAUAUUUUUUGCAUACAAUUUUCUGGUUUGUUUUAGAUUUUGUUGUGUAACCACAAAUCUAGUUCAUACAGUUAAAUGUGGCAAAUUAAUGGUUGCCUCAGUUUGUCAUUUUCUAGCCAGUGUUUGAUGCUAUUGUUAUUGCUGAUGGUACCAUUUUAGCUAGGGUAACAUUGUUCUAACCAAUUGUUUUUCCUUGAAUACCAAGGCUGAGAUUGCUUAAGGGUUACAGAAAAUGCUAUGAGCCAGUGCCAAGAGAACCAGAGGCUGAGGCAAGCAGUCAGCAACUUCAUAUCCCCCAAAAAUUGAAGAGGUAGGAUCUUGCAACAUACUCAAAACCAAAAACUAGCUACACCUGGAAGAUACCCUUGAGAAACAGUCAUUUCCUAAGGGUUUUAAAUACUAACAAAAAAGCAGCUCAUCAUAUGUGCAAAGAAAUAAAAUUAAAAAAUGAGAAAGCACUUAAACCAGAUGGAAUCCCAGACAUCCAGUUCACCAUAAGCAAACAAAGGAGGCAAUAAAGUGGAAUAAUUCCUGUCUUGAUUAUUGUUCUCUCAUUGCUGAGACAAAUACCUAAAACUAAAAUGAGGGAAGAAAAGGUUUAUUUAGCUCACAGUCCAUGGAAAUUUCAGUCCAUAAUUUGUUGGUUCCAAGACAGGAUGGUAUGGCUAAGGGGCAACAUGGCAAAUGCAGCAGAUACCAGAAGCAACAAGAACAAAAAGGCAAAAGGGAAAGGCAUGCUUCCUGCCUUCUCUUAUACCGUAUGUUGGUUACCCGCCCCUGGGCAGGUACAGCACUCACACCAUCAAUCUUAGUGCUAGACAAUGAGCCAAUCACAAACACCAGAUUCAGCUGCCUUCACGACUGCAUUAGGCUUUGGGGAAGCAUUUAAACACAAACCAUAACAAUCCCACAGCCACCCAUUCGGGCUCUCUCAGAUGAUAACAAUAAGCAAAUGAAUGACACUUUACAAAAAUACCAAGUAAUUUCUCAAAUAACUACAGAGAUGGUGACCACAAUGAAAACCAUGUUAGUGACUGUAAAGCAGAUACAGUGUUAGAGUAGAGCUUAGGAAAAUGAUGGAAAUCAUGAACACUCAAUAUAGAAAAGAAGUGUAACCCAUAAAACAGGUUCAAGCAGACAUCUAAGAGACUAAAAAUUCCAUUGUAAAUAUUCAUAGCAGAAUAAACCAAUGUGAGGAAAAAAAUCUCAGAUAUACAAGACAUGCUUGCAGUUAGUGAUCAUGAAAAAGAAAGAUUUCUUAGGAAUAGCAAGGGACCACAAGAAAUCAAUCCAAGAGAGAAUCAGAAGAAGAUCCACCUCCGCCUGCUGGGCACCACCACUUGAAGGCUCCUUCCUUCACGCUACCAGUGUGGGCAGAGAAAACCAGAAGAAGCCCCACCUCUGCCUGCUUGGUGCCGCCAGUGGAAGGCACUUUCCUCUGUGCACCCAGCAUGGGCCGAAGGAGACAGACAGAUCCACUUCUGCCUACUGUGUGCUGCCACCAAAAGGCCAUGUCCUACAGGAGGCCAGUGUGGGCAGAGAGAACCAGCAGAUCCACCUUCACUUUCAGGAAGCUGCCCCGAGAAGGCUCCUUCCUACAGACAGCCAACAGGAGCAGGGACACACAGCCAGGUAAGCCCUGUGCAUCAAUAGGCCACCAUUUGAGGCCCUUGGUUCCCUCCGACAGCCACCAUCCACUAGCAGAGUCAGACAAACACACCCAUGUGUGGCUGCCACCAUUUUGGGAAUCCAUUGAAGACACACAGGCUGAGAGAAGCAGCCCCACCUACAUGCACCCCUGAUUGUCAGCGAAGCCCCAGUGUAACAGCAUAGCUCUGGAGAAGCCCACUCCACACCCUGCUACCUCCCUGUAAAUCUGGAAUUAGAGGAACCCAGGUGCCUGUCCCAUCCCCCUACAACUUAGGGGCAGCCAACACAGGAAGUGCCUGGGACCCCACAACCAGCUUAUUGGGAGGAACCCAGGAUAAGCCAAGAUGAAGGAGCAAAAGGCAAACUCAGACCUCUAGCCCACACACAAUAAGUCUGGGAGAUACAGUCAUGGAAGAAAACAGAAGCCCCACACCUGAAAUCUCUGAGAGAAUAGCAACUGAAGUAAGAAAACAACUUCAUGAGAUUGUAAAAGCAGUCAAGUCAGAAAUAAUGUCUCAGGUAAAAGAAGAAAUCACAAACAUACUGAAAGAAUUGUCAAGCAGGUCUAAAGAAGACAUAGACAAUAAAGAGGAGCAUAGGAAAAUGAUGGAAACCUUUAAUGAAUGUAGAAAGGAAUUACAAUGUAUGAAACAUUUAAAGAGAGAUGCAAGAAAUUAAAAAUUCAACCAAAAGAUGGAAAAACCGCUUGAAAGAGAUUGAGGAUAGACUUUCAACUCUUGAAGACAGGAUUGCAGCUAGUGAUCGUGAAAGGAAGGAUCUCUUAACAAUAACACAGACUCAGGAAAUAACAAUUCAAUGACUGCGACAUGGUGCAAAGAAGCAUAAUUUAAGAGUGGUAGGUAUCAGUGAAGAAGCAGGGAUCAACACGAAUGAAAUAAAAGGAUAUUCACAGGAGUAAUAAAAGAAACUUCCCAAACAUGGGAAAUAGAUCUGGCAUGCAGAUAAGUGAGGCAUAUAGGACUCCAACUAGCCAUAACCAAAGUAAAUCUACACCCAGACAUAGAAUAAUCAAGACCCCAGAAAUUCACCACAAGAACAGAAUAUUAAAAGCUGUUAGAGAAAAGAGACAGAUUACCUAUAAAGGAAAACUAAUCAGAAUCACAGAAGACUUGUCAACACAAACCAUAAGUCAAGAAGAGUUUGAAGUGCUUCAAACCCUAAAAGAAAACAACUCCCAACCCAAAUUGAUCUAACCAGAAAAACUAUCUUUCAAAAUUGGUGGAAAAAUAAGACACUUCCAUGAUAAAGAGCAACUGAAGGAAUUCAUGAUAACCAAACCAACUCUACAGAGAGUGCUAGGGAAUAUUCUAGAGAUAGACAAAGAUGACCAUGGUUCCAGGAACAGCAGCAGAGGAGGACUGCCAAACAAGACAGGCAAUUGAAUGAAUGGAACAAGUGGAGGGAGGGCCAAUAACAGGGGGAUAGCAGGGCAGAGACAAAUGUAUGCCGGUUGUAACCAUUAAUGUAUAUGCCCUCAGGUCAGCAAUGAAAAGCAAUACAGGGAGAGCAGAUCAAGAAACAAGAUCCUUUGAUAUACUGUAUACAAGAAACACAUCUAACUGGAAAGGAAAUUCAUAGACUGAAAAUUAAAGGACAGAAAACAAUUGUUCCAUGUGACAGGAGACAAAAAAAAAAAAAAAAAAAAAAAAGCAAAAGUAACUUGCCCAUCAACGACAGAAUGGAUAAGAAAGAUAUGGUAUUUUCAUGCAGUGGAAAGCUACCCAUCUAUAAAGUAGAAUAAUCUCAAGGCUUUUGUAGGUAAAUGGACGAAACUGGAGAUCAUAUUCAUGGCCAAAAUAAUUUGAACUUAUACAUGUAAACCCUAGCAUAAGAAACAGGAGUUAAUGGGAUCAAAAAGCGAAAUAGUUAAUGUAAGAGCAAA